rnacentral:rRNA from 1 species
UAACUUAAUGGUUGCUUUAAAAAUUUUUUAGGUUACCUGCCUUUUGCAUCAUGCUCAGAUGAUUUAUUGAAUAAUUAUUCUUUAACCGAAAACUCUGGAUUUUGUUUGUUGUUGCUUAGCGUUAAUGUCGGGUAGACGUGUUAUAAAAUUACAAAUGCGGUGUGAAAAAUUAGACGUCAGAGUUUAUAACUGUUUAACAACUAGGAAAUUUGAGUCAUUCAUUGGGUUAAGAGAUCCAGUGAAAGAAUAUAUUUUAUAUACGUUUGUUUUUAUAAUAGGGUUAAAAGUACCCAGUUAUUGUAACAUUGUUCAAAAGUUUUAAUAUUGUACGUAAAAUUAUUUUAUAGUGGUUGUUUAAGAACAAUAGUUUGAAAUUAAGAAUAUCGGAACAAGUAAUAUUUAUUAAACCAAUUAUUUCUCAAGUGUUGCCCGUCUGUUUAUUAAAAACAUUUCCAUAUAAAAGUUUCUAUGGUAGUGCCUGCUCUAUGUGAAUUUUUAUAAAUGGCCGCAGUAUCUUGACUGUGCAAAGGUAGCAUAAUUAAUUGCCUUAUAAUUGAAGGCUUGUUUGAAUGGUUUGACGUGGUAAUUACAAAUAUUUGGUUUUUUAUUGAAAUUGGUAUGGAGGGCACAGAAUCCUCCUUUUUUAAUUAGACGGAAAGACCCCAGAAUCUUUCUUUUUUGUCUGGGGCAGAUGAAAAUUUUUCAUUUUUAUUAUGACCCUCAAAGGUUUAGUGAGUUAAGUUACUCUGGGGAUAACAGUGUAAUAGUUUAUUAGAGAUCAUAUCGAAUAAACUGUUUGCUACCUCGAUGUUGACUUAGGUAAAUAUGCUAGGCGCAGUAGUUUAGCCUUUUGGUCUGUUCGACCUAUUGUACCUCCAUGAGUUGAGUUAAGACCGGUGUGAGCCAGGUCGGUUCUUAUCUAUUAUUCUGAUUUAUUAGUACGAAAGGAUCGUAAGUCAUUUUUUU